ACGUAGGACGCAAGCGUUAUCCGGAAUUACUGGGCGUAAAGGGCGUGUAGGCGGCACGGUAAGUCAACCGUGAAAGCUCCCGGCUAAACUGGGAGAGGUCGGAUGAGACUGCCGAGCUAGAGGGUCGUAGAGGGGUGUGGAAUUCCGGGUGUAGUGGUGAAAUGCGUAGAGAUCCGGAGGAACACCAGAGGCGAAGGCGGCACCCUGGACGACACCAGACGCUGAGACGCGACAGCACGGGGAGCGAACGG
rnacentral:rRNA from 1 species